GCACAUUGUAAGAGCUGUAAAGAGAGAGGGAGUGGAGAGAGAACAGGCAGAACCUGAUAUGUAAAUGAGCAGAGCAAACGAAAGUAACUUUCGAAGACCGAAUGAUCAUUCCAGACUCUGUUUCUAUUGAGAGAGAGAUAAAAGGCUGGUUGAAUGAGUUGCCUAUGAAAGCUACUUCAUCUGCAAGAAAACAGGCAGCUGCACCAGUGACUGGGUCAGUGCUGUAAAAUGAAUCUCUCUGAGGAGAGAGAGGAGGGGGGCCCUGCCUCUAAAAUGAGUCUCUCUGAGGGACAUGACACCAAAGCUAAGAGCGCCCGGCCCGGGAUAUAAACCAGCCACCUUUCAACCACAGGUCCAACUCCUGCCACAGCUCCAACUCCUUAGCCGCUGGGUGAAAACCUGAGUUAAUUUUCUGAAAUAAGCAUGAGUUAAUCUGCCAAAAUGAAGACAAAAUGUUUUAGAGACAUACAUGGUAUCACUUGUUACAUAUAAGUAUUAUACAUAAAUCAUUGCCAAAAGCACAAGACAUAUAUUAUUAAUGGAUUGAUCAUAUAGAAAUAUAAAACAUUAUUUUUAACUUCUCCAAAGCAAUGACGUGGCAUUGUAUUGUAGUUCAACUGUAUUUAAUGGUGUAUGUAGUUGUGUUGUCAUGUGAAUGUUGUAUUGUAGUAACCAACUGUAUUUAAUGGUGUUAUGUAGUUGUGUUGUGAAUGUUGUAUUGUAGUAAUCCUCAACUGUAUUUAAUGGUGUUAUGUAGUUGUGUUGUCAUGUUGUGAAUGUUGUAUUGUAGUAAUCAACUGUAUUUAAUGGUGUUAUGUAGUUGUGUUGUCAUGUUUUGGAUAUUGCAUUGUAGUAGGCCUAGCCCUCACCAACAGAGACAGCAACAGACAACACAGAGAAAGUGAUGGAGAAAGUGAUGGAGAAAGUGACAGAGAAAGUGAUGGAGAGAGGCAGAGGAUGGGAGUGUACAGUAGACUGGGAUUAUAAUUACUGCACUGCGCGUGUGUGUGUGUGUGUGUGUGUGUGUCUGUGUGUGUGUGAGAGAGAGAGUGAGAGGGUGUUUUGGUACUGUAGGAUUCUUUAAUCAGUGUGGCUCAUUGGACAGGUCAGAGUCUCAACACAAUUGAAAACUUACCAUCAUCAAAACAGCAAAUUAUGGAAUUUCUCGUGGAAGAAUGGUUUCACAUCCCUCCAAAAGUUCCAGACACUUGAAGGAGCUGUUAAGAGAGAGGGAGGGAGAGAGAACAGGAAGAACCUGAUAUGUAAAUGAGUAGAGCAAACGAAAGUAACUUUC